rnacentral:tRNA from 1 species
GAAAUAUUUAAUAUAAAGCUUCUAACUUUAUGCAAAGAUUAAAAUUAAUCUAUAUUUCU